rnacentral:lncRNA from 1 species
UGACCAAUGGGCUUUGAGGAGGCUGCCCGAGGCCAUACUAGGCAUUAGGGUUAGUUUCUCGAGGCCAUUCGAGUUUUUGAGGCUAGGGUCAGAAGGUUUAGGUUUUUGGAUAUGGUUUUGGUGCAAAAUUUGUGUCAUUUGGGGUUUAUAUGAAGAAGUUAUAGGCGCUCUAAGUUAAGGUGUAAGUUUUCAACGUACUGUCACUCUUUUGAGCAUACCGCACGCGUACGGACGGCAAACGAGGAUCGGCGACCGGAUUUGAAGAGAAUACUUUUUCGGCUACAGUUUAUUCAUACUGUUUAUCGAAUUCCAAGCUUUUAUGAAGGAGAUAUGGGCAGUUGAAGUCAGCGCUUGAUAUCUAAGGGUAGUAAGUAGCCCGAAUUACUUGUGCUUGUGAUUUGAGCUAUAUCUUAGACAAUUUGAUGAGGUUUUAGCUCAAAAUUUUCAAGAUUGAGUGUAAUCUUGUUAUAAAGCUUUCUAUACAAGUUUUGUGUGAUUUGGAGCUUGGGUUUAAGAGAUAUAAGGAAAAUAGUUUUCGGGUGCUUGUAAGUUAGGGUUUUGUGCACCUGCUAGGGUUUCUUAGAUGCCGAACGAUCGGUGAUAGAUGUACGGUUCAAUUUUUUUGUGGUAAAAGUUAAGUAUAGCAUCUAGCUUAUGUAGAAAUUUGAAACAAAGUGAACGGUUGGAUUAGCUUUUAUGAAUUUUCAAAAUCUGAUGUAAAAAGGUCCUUGGCGGGAAGAAAUAUAUUUUGAAGAAUUUUAAGAUAUUUUGAAUUUUUAUACAAAGCAAGGAGUUUUUUUUUGGGAGCUAAGGCAUUAUAUAAAAAAAAAAAAACUUAAACUCUCUACAGCUAGAUACCCGGUGUAUUUCCAAAUAGAAAAUCACGCCAUAUGACAGCGUCUGUAGAUAGAUUUCGGAAUCAAGCACCUACUUUCAAAAUUGGAGAUAAAGCAUGGCUUCUUCGACGGAAUAUCAAGACCAAGUGAUCAUGUGAUAAGUUGGACUAUCGAAGAUUGGGACCAUUUAUCAUCUAAAAGCAAAUCAAUCCAGUGGCG